AGUGAACGCUGGCGGUAGGCCUAACACAUACAAGUCGAACGGCAGCACAGUAAGAGCUUGCUCUUACGGGUGGCGAGUGGCGGACGGGUGAGGAAUACAUCGGAAUCUACUUUUUCGUGGGGGAUAACGUAGGGAAACUUACGCUAAUACCGCAUACGACCUACGGGUGAAAGCAGGGGAUCUUCGGACCUUGCGCGAUUGAAUGAGCCGAUGUCGGAUUAGCUAGUUGGCGGGGUAAAGGCCCACCAAGGCGACGAUCCGUAGCUGGUCUGAGAGGAUAAUCAGCCACACUGGAACUGAGACACGGUCCAGACUCCUACGGGAGGCAGCAGUGGGGAAUAUUGGACAAUGGGCGCAAGCCUGAUCCAGCCAUACCGCGUGGGUGAAGAAGGCCUUCGGGUUGUAAAGCCCUUUUGUUGGGAAAGAAAAGCAGCAGGUUAAUACCCCGCUGUUCUGACGGUACCCAAAGAAUAAGCACCGGCUAACUUCGUG
rnacentral:rRNA from 1 species